rnacentral:tRNA from 2 species
UGCUCGGUAGCUUAGGUGGUAAAGCACUCGUCUAGCAUACAAGAGUUGUGGCUUCAAAUCUCACCUGAGCUC